rnacentral:rRNA from 1 species
UACGUAGGGGGCUAGCGUUGUCCGGAAUCAUUGGGCGUAAAGCGCGCGUAGGCGGUCCGGUAAGUCCGCUGUGAAAGUCGAGGGCUCAACCCUCGAAUGCCGGUGGAUACUGUCGGGCUUGAGUACGGGAGAGGCGAGUGGAAUUCCUGGUGUAGCGGUGAAAUGCGCAGAUAUCAGGAGGAACACCGAUUGCGAAGGCAGCUCGCUGGAACGUUACUGACGCUGAGACGCGAAAGCGUGGGGAGCAAACAGG